GUGGGGAAUAUUGGACAAUGGGGGGAACCCUGAUCCAGCCAUGCCGCGUGUGUGAAGAAGGCCUUUUGGUUGUAAAGCACUUUAAGCGAGGAGGAGGCUACCGAGAUCAAUACUCUUGGAUAGUGGACGUUACUCGCAGAAUAAGCACCGGCUAACUCUGUGCCAGCAGCCGCGGUAAUACAGAGGGUGAAAGCGUUAAUCGGAUUUACCGGGUGUAAAGCGCGCGUAGGUGGCAAAUUAAGUCAAAUGUGAAAUCCCCGGGCUUAACUUGGGAAUUGCAUUUGAAACUGGUUGGCUAGAGUAUGGGAGAGGAUGGUAGAAUUCCAGGUGUAGCGGUGAAAUGCGUAGAGAUCUGGAGGAAUACCGAUGGCGAAGGCAGCCAUCUGGCCUAAUACUGACACUGAGGUGCGAAAGCAUGGGGAGCAAACAGGAUUAGAUACCCGAGUAGUCC
rnacentral:rRNA from 1 species